rnacentral:rRNA from 1 species
CACCAAUGGCGAAGGCAGGCUGCCAGCAGACCACUGACGCUGANGUGCGAAGGUGCGGGGAGCGAACAGGAUUAGAUACCCUGGUAGUCCGCACAGUCAACGAUGUACACUGGGUGUCUGCGCAUGANCGCCGGGUGCCNUUAACCAACGCUUUUAAGUGUACCGCCUGGGGAAGUAUGCCCGCAAGGG